UGCAGUCGAACGAGAAAGUCACUUCGGUGGCGAUUAAAGUGGCGCACGGGUGAGUAACGCGUAGACAAUCUGCCCCUCAGUCUGGGACAACUUUUCGAAAGGAGAGCUAAUACCGGAUAACAAUGCAUGACACAAGUCAUAUAUUUGAAAGCUUUAUGUGCUGAAGGAGGGGUCUGCGUCCCAUUAGCUAGUUGGUAAGGUAAAGGCUUACCAAGGCAACGAUGGGUAGCGGGUUUGAGAGGACGAUCCGCCACACUGGAACUGAGACACGGUCCAGACUCCUACGGGAGGCAGCAGUGGGGAAUAUUGCACAAUGGAGGAAACUCUGAUGCAGCAAUGUCGCGUGAGUGAAGAAGGCCCUUGGGUCGUAAAGCUCUUUUAUGGGGGAAGAUGAUGACGGUACCCCAAGAAUAAGCACCGGCUAACUACGUGCCAGCAACCGCGGUAAUACGUAGGGUGCGAGCGUUGUUCGGAAUUACUGGGCGUAAAGGGCGCGCAGGCGGAAUAGCAAGUCGGAGGUGAAAGCCCGGGGCUCAACCCCGGAGGGUCUUUCGAAACUGCUAAUCUAGAGAGGGUCAGGGGCCAGCAGAAUUCUUGGUGUAGAGGUGAAAUUCGUAGAUAUCAAGAGGAAUACCGGUGGCGAAGGCGGCUGGCUGGGGCCACUCUGACGCUGAGGCGCGAAAGCGUGGGGAGCAAACAGGAUUA
rnacentral:rRNA from 1 species